rnacentral:piRNA from 1 species
UACUAAUGGCUGGCAUGGGCAGGACC